UUGGUUUGGUUUAGGCAAGGGUGAUUCCUUGCAUGAAUAAAGCUGAGAAUUUCAUUCAGCAAAAACAUGACAAGGGUGAUUCCUUGUCUGAACAAAGUUGAGAAUUUCAUUAAACCAAAAACAUGUAUAGCUGCUGUCACAAAAUCAAUAAAACUGUUUGGGUUUUUGUGUUUUUUCUCCUUGUAUUUGGAAUUUUUAAAUCGGAUUUUUUUUUGCGUUUGGCUUCUUUUUUAUUUUGUCGUUUUAUUUGUCUCUGUUUUUUUAAUAUUGACCGUUAAUUUAGGAUAUUUGAAUUGAAGGUGUGUAAGUUGGAAUUUCUGUUUUUAGAUUGGCUUGGCUUUGUUUUGUUUGGUGUAGCUUGGUUUGGUUUAGGCAAAGGUGAUUCCUUGCAUGAAUAAAGCUGAGAAUUUCAUUUAGCAAAAUCAUGCAAAGCUAUUGUCACGAAACUAGUAAAACUGUUUGGGUUUUGGGGUUUCCCUCUUUGUAUUCAGAAUUUUGACAAUUGGAUUAUUUUAGUGUUCGAUUUUUUUUUAAAUGCCUUUUGAGUAAAGCUUUCUGUUUGUUUUUUAUUCUGCCUCUCUUUUUUUUUUCCUAAUCAUGUGAACUAGUUUAUGAUAUUAAUGGUGCUUAAGUUGGUGUUUUUGUUUUGAGAUUGACUUGGCUUUGCUUGGUUUGGUUUGGUGUGGCUUGGCUUGGUUUAGGCAAGGGUGGUUCCUUGCAUGACCAAAACUGAGGAUUUCAUUCUGCCAAAAACAUGUAAACCGUUGUCACGAAACCAAUAAAACUGUUUGGGUUUUUUCUCUUUGUAUUUGGAUUUUUGAUAAUAGUUUCAGAAGCUACAGAAGAAGACCAUGAUUGAAGUUUCGGAGAGGAUCAAAGGUCGUAACUACUAGACAUUCAUUUGUAAUUGCACAGAAGGCAUAGGGUCGCCUCUCACAUCUUCAAUGUCUCAUUAUCUGCAAAUAGUGUAGUGUAUACGAUUCAUGCACAAUAGUUUAGCAAAAAGUUAUUAAGAGUUUCAAUUUGCGGUUUUCUAUUUCCAUGACACACGUGCACACUGCUUCUUUUGCCAUGGGUGUGGAACUUUUGACGUGUUGGGAUACUUUGUGCUCCUGUCUGCUUUGGCUCUCCCCGUUUUGUUGUCAUCACUCAUCAUUGUGAGAUCACAAGGUUUUGUUCUGUGUUCGAGCCACCUACAUUUGAUUUAUCUUCCAAAUAUUCAUCUCAUGUUUGCCAAACCAUUUAAAAUCAUAUUUCCAUACUAAUGGUCCACUAUCAUCAUCUCCAGCGGCAAAUUACUCAUACCUGCUGCAAAGCACGGGCAAGGACCUGAUCGAACACUACAAUGCGAAGAUGAAUAUGAUGUAGUUUCAGGUGCUGGUAAGGAUUGUCGACAUGGUAAAAACAAGAAAAUCCUCGCAUGCACACUUUUGGAAUAGGUAGUGGCUCGAUGUUCUGUGCCUUGAAUGAACCCUUAGGCUGACGGCAUUUUCCUUUUAUUAUGACUGGCGUUUUUUGGGUGUUGGGAAAUCUUUAUAAUUUACUUGGUGCCUUAGUUAAUCUUUUCAUGUUGAAACUUUGUAGGUACAUUACCUACUGAAACUAUUAUUUCUUGCAAAUGCUUGCAGGGGACUACAUGAUGCUGCUUAUGAUGUAGGUCAGUUAACAACUGACUUGUCUGGAUUGGAUACUGGAAUGGUAAAACCGUCUGUCAACAUCAUAUGGUUCACCUGGAGAAUGAAACUGUUAACUGGUCAGAGGGGAGUCGUUAUACUGUGGCUUAUAUAUGCUACUUGGUCUGGGUUUUCUAAGAACUGUAACUCCUGAUUUGGGUGAAUUGACCGGUCGAGAACAAGAACUUGAAUGAACUUUCAGGUUCAUGCAUGAACCGAGCCUUUUUUUCUAAAAAAAGUUAUGAACUUUUCUGCUUCUGUGGUUGUUUCACAUAUUUUCGGUAAGUUCUUUUGGGUUGUUUCGCAUCUUUUCAGUAAGUUUUUCGUCAUCUCUUUCAUUAUGGCAGUUUGUGCUACUUUAUUUUUUUUCUCUUAUGCCUUCUUACAGCUUUCAAGUGAUUUCUCUUUGCUUUGUUUUCCCCUUAUUUCCCCUCUUUUUGUUCCUGCCUAAUUUUUCCCGCAUUUUUUUAAGUUUCUGUUUCCAUUCCAGGGUUUUUGCUCUUUCUAGAGUUCCACAGGUUUGUGGACUAUUAUCUCUGUUUUUCCCUAUUUAAUUGCUGGUAUUCCAUUGUCAGAGUUACACCAAAUGCGAAAAGCUAAAGGAUCAGCAUAAGUGGAAAUCUAUUUGUAAUGCUCUCUUUUUGUAUCUCCUAUUUUACUUUACUAUUAUCUCUGUUUUUCCCUAUUUAAUUGCUGGUAUUCCAUUGAGUAUAAUAUAUUCUUGUGUUGCAUGGACAGAAUCACCUGCUCAUGGUGGGGUGAUUCUGGUUUCAAAAAGGGACCCACUUUUUAGUAUCCUGUCACCAAGUUUUCGGUAAAUCGUCUUGCAUCACCUAUGUGAGGGCAAUUAUCUUGGGUUGACUUGGGUUUUUAUCUGUCAGCCAUGUUUCUAACUAAUGGCUUUUCAUGGUUCUCUGAUAUAGAAAAAUACAAGGUUUGAUAAAGUACCCUUAUAUUAAUCUCCCUCUCUUUGUAUGCUCUGAUGCCUCUUGCUUAUUCUUUAAUUAUCUGAUGCUUCAUUCCCUUUUCUGAUUUUUCACUUUUCCCCCCAUUUAUUUGUUUCGAUGGUUGUAUCAAUCAAAUUUUUAUUUGCAACAUGUUCUUUACACAGGCUUGGUAUAGGAGAGGUUAGGCAAAUGUUUCUUUGGGAAACUACAAAUAUGCCAUCAAUGACUUGGACAUGGCUGAGGAUGCAGAGGUCACAUUUGGGGAAAUAGACCUAUAGAAAGUGAACAGAAAAGAAAUUGUUCACAAAUGUCCAAAAAUUAGAAAUUGUUCCACAUAGCCACCUUGGCACUUCCUGGUGGAUACCGUUUAUUGAAUUUCUCGAAUAUUAAGCUGGUACUCAUCAUUGGGGACAGAUGAAACAUGCCAAAUGAAAGAUAAAUAGCCAGUAAGGUUGCACAAUUUGAUUUCCGCUGGUGUCUCGAUCUCAUUGUCAAUCUAAAUGGAGAAGUUGAUAUCUUUAGUUCCAGACAAUCUGAAGCUGAUGGUGGCAGGCUGGCAGCUAUUGGUCCCUAAUGAUCUUCCUUCCACUUUGUCUUCACUUCAUGAAUUCUUUAGUUACUUGUCCCAAUUCCCCCAAGCGCUUCAGGGUUUUG